rnacentral:rRNA from 1 species
GAUGAACGCUGGCGGCGUGCCUAAUACAUGCAAGUCGAGCGAACGGACGAGAAGCUUGCUUCUCUGAUGUUAGCGGCGGACGGGUGAGUAACACGUGGAUAACCUACCUAUAAGACUGGGAUAACUUCGGGAAACCGGAGCUAAUACCGGAUAAUAUUUUGAACCGCAUGGUUCAAAAGUGAAAGACGGUCUUGCUGUCACUUAUAGAUGGAUCCGCGCUGCAUUAGCUAGUUGGUAAGGUAACGGCUUACCAAGGCAACGAUGCAUAGCCGACCUGAGAGGGUGAUCGGCCACACUGGAACUGAGACACGGUCCAGACUCCUACGGGAGGCAGCAGUAGGGAAUCUUCCGCAAUGGGCGAAAGCCUGACGGAGCAACGCCGCGUGAGUGAUGAAGGUCUUCGGAUCGUAAAACUCUGUUAUUAGGGAAGAACAUAUGUGUAAGUAACUGUGCACAUCUUGACGGUACCUAAUCAGAAAGCCACGGCUAACUACGUGCCAGCAGCCGCGGUAAUACGUAGGUGGCAAGCGUUAUCCGGAAUUAUUGGGCGUAAAGCGCGCGUAGGCGGUUUUUUAAGUCUGAUGUGAAAGCCCGCGGCUCAACCGUGGAGGGUCAUUGGAAACUGGAAAACUUGAGUGCAGAAGAGGAAAGUGGAAUUCCAUGUGUAGCGGUGAAAUGCGCGGAGAUAUGGAGGAACACCAGUGGCGAAGGCGACUUUCUGGUCUGUAACUGACGCUGAUGUGCGAAAGCGUGGGGAUCAAACAGGAUUAGAUACCCUGGUAGUCCACGCCGUAAACGAUGAGUGCUAAGUGUUAGGGGGUUUCCGCCCCUUAGUGCUGCAGCUAACGCAUUAAGCACUCCGCCUGGGGAGUACGACCGCAAGGUUGAAACUCAAAGGAAUUGACGGGGACCCGCACAAGCGGUGGAACAUGUGGUUUAAUUCGAAGCAACGCGAAGAACCUUACCAAAUCUUGACAUCCUUUGACAACUCUAGAGAUAGAGCUUUCCCCUUCGGGGGACAAAGUGACAGGUGGUGCAUGGUUGUCGUCAGCUCGUGUCGUGAGAUGUUGGGUUAAGUCCCGCAACGAGCGCAACCCUUAAGCUUAGUUGCCAUCAUUAAGUUGGGCACUCUAAGUUGACUGCCGGUGACAAACCGGAGGAAGGUGGGGAUGACGUCAAAUCAUCAUGCCCCUUAUGAUUUGGGCUACACACGUGCUACAAUGGACAAUACAAAGGGCAGCGAAACCGUGAGGUCAAGCAAAUCCCAUAAAGUUGUUCUCAGUUCGGAUUGUAGUCUGCAACUCGACUACAUGAAGCUGGAAUCGCUAGUAAUCGUAGAUCAGCAUGCUACGGUGAAUACGUUCCCGGGUCU